GAUGAGUAGGGCGGGACACGUGGUAUCCUGUCUGAAUAUGGGGGGACCAUCCUCCAAGGCUAAAUACUCCUGACUGACCGAUAGUGAACCAGUACCGUGAGGGAAAGGCGAAAAGAACCCCGGCGAGGGGAGUGAAAAAGAACCUGAAACCGUGUACGUACAAGCAGUGGGAGCACGCUUAGGCGUGUGACUGCGUACCUUUUGUAUAAUGGGUCAGCGACUUAUAUUCUGUAGCAAGGUUAACCGAAUAGGGGAGCCGAAGGGAAACCGAGUCUUAACUGGGCGUUAAGUUGCAGGGUAUAGACCCGAAACCCGGUGAUCUAGCCAUGGGCAGGUUGAAGGUUGGGUAACACUAACUGGAGGACCGAACCGACUAAUGUUGAAAAAUUAGCGGAUGACUUGUGGCUGGGGGUGAAAGGCCAAUCAAACCGGGAGAUAGCUGGUUCUCCCCGAAAGCUAUUUAGGUAGCGCCUCGUGAAUUCAUCUCCGGGGGUAGAGCACUGUUUCGGCAAGGGGGUCAUCCCGACUUACCAACCCGAUGCAAACUGCGAAUACCGGAGAAUGUUAUCACGGGAGACACACGGCGGGUGCUAACGUCCGUCGUGAAGAGGGAAACAACCCAGACCGCCAGCUAAGGUCCCAAAGUCAUGGUUAAGUGGGAAACGAUGUGGGAAGGCCCAGACAGCCAGGAUGUUGGCUUAGAAGCAGCCAUCAUUUAAAGAAAGCGUAAUAGCUCACUGGUCGAGUCGGCCUGCGCGGAAGAUGUAACGGGGCUAAACCAUGCACCGAAGCUGCGGCAGCGACGCUUAUGCGUUGUUGGGUAGGGGAGCGUUCUGUAAGCCUGCGAAGGUGUGCUGUGAGGCAUGCUGGAGGUAUCAGAAGUGCGAAUGCUGACAUAAGUAACGAUAAAGCGGGUGAAAAGCCCGCUCGCCGGAAGACCAAGGGUUCCUGUCCAACGUUAAUCGGGGCAGGGUGAGUCGACCCCUAAGGCGAGGCCGAAAGGCGUAGUCGAUGGGAAACAGGUUAAUAUUCCUGUACUUGGUGUUACUGCGAAGGGGGGACGGAGAAGGCUAUGUUGGCCGGGCGACGGUUGUCCCGGUUUAAGCGUGUAGGCUGGUUUUCCAGGCAAAUCCGGAAAAUCAAGGCUGAGGCGUGAUGACGAGGCACUACGGUGCUGAAGCAACAAAUGCCCUGCUUCCAGGAAAAGCCUCUAAGCAUCAGGUAACAUCAAAUCGUACCCCAAACCGACACAGGUGGUCAGGUAGAGAAUACCAAGGCGCUUGAGAGAACUCGGGUGAAGGAACUAGGCAAAAUGGUGCCGUAACUUCGGGAGAAGGCACGCUGAUAUGUAGGUGAAGUCCCUUGCGGAUGGAGCUGAAAUCAGUCGAAGAUACCAGCUGGCUGCAACUGUUUAUUAAAAACACAGCACUGUGCAAACACGAAAGUGGACGUAUACGGUGUGACGCCUGCCCGGUGCCGGAAGGUUAAUUGAUGGGGUCAGCGCAAGCGAAGCUCUUGAUCGAAGCCCCGGUAAACGGCGGCCGUAACUAUAACGGUCCUAAGGUAGCGAAAUUCCUUGUCGGGUAAGUUCCGACCUGCACGAAUGGCGUAAUGAUGGCCAGGCUGUCUCCACCCGAGACUCAGUGAAAUUGAACUCGCUGUGAAGAUGCAGUGUACCCGCGGCAAGACGGAAAGACCCCGUGAACCUUUACUAUAGCUUGACACUGAACAUUGAGCCUUGAUGUGUAGGAUAGGUGGGAGGCUUUGAAGUGUGGACGCCAGUCUGCAUGGAGCCGGCCUUGAAAUACCACCCUUUAAUGUUUGAUGUUCUAACGUGGACCCGUGAUCCGGGUUGCGGACAGUGUCUGGUGGGUAGUUUGACUGGGGCGGUCUCCUCCUAAAGAGUAACGGAGGAGCACGAAGGUUGGCUAAUCCUGGUCGGACAUCAGGAGGUUAGUGCAAUGGCAUAAGCCAGCUUGACUGCGAGCGUGACGGCGCGAGCAGGUGCGAAAGCAGGUCAUAGUGAUCCGGUGGUUCUGAAUGGAAGGGCCAUCGCUCAACGGAUAAAAGGUACUCCGGGGAUAACAGGCUGAUACCGCCCAAGAGUUCAUAUCGACGGCGGUGUUUGGCACCUCGAUGUCGGCUCAUCACAUCCUGGGGCUGAAGUAGGUCCCAAGGGUAUGGCUGUUCGCCAUUUAAAGUGGUACGCGAGCUGGGUUUAGAACGUCGUGAGACAGUUCGGUCCCUAUCUGCCGUGGGCGCUGGAGAACUGAGGGGGGCUGCUCCUAGUACGAGAGGACCGGAGUGGACGCAUCACUGGUGUUCGGGUUGUCAUGCCAAUGGCACUGCCCGGUAGCUAAAUGCGGAAGAGAUAAGUGCUGAAAGCAUCUAAGCACGAAACUUGCCCCGAGAUGAGUUCUCCCUGACCCUUUAAGGGUCCUGAAGGAACGUUGAAGACGACGACGUUGAUAGGCCGGGUGUGUAAGCGCAGCGAUGCGUUGAGCUAACCGGUACUAAUGAACCGUGAGGCUUAACC
rnacentral:rRNA from 1 species